ensembl:lncRNA
ACUUAUUUCAGAUGAAGUGAAAGCCUUCCUCUGGAAGGAAGAAACCUUGGCCCCGGAGGAACCGAAUGUUAAUUGCUGUGUCCUGUGGGAGCAGGGAGGAGGCAUCUUUGGAGACGGCGGGCUGUUCUGUGGGUUUGCUGGCUCUGGCUGGGGCAUGACUCUGGGAUGAAAACAAGGCUUUCUGGUGGCAAGGCCUCAGCCUAAAAUGAGAGGCAAAGGGCCAAGGAGAGAGGCAGCCAGAAGGGGCCCCCAGAGCAGGGUUCUCCAGGGCAGGGACAUGGCCAGUGCAGAGAUGUCUGCUGACUGGGUUUCAGUUUUUCUUUCACUCCCUCAGGUCUUCAGCAAAAUUGUGUAAGAACUUCAGCCUGGACUCAGAUUACUUGGAGGAAUUGGAGGAGGAGCAGUGUGAGAAGUCCCCAGAACCACUGUCAGGGCCGCCUAGAGGAGCAGGAAGAUUAGCCCUGAGCUAACAUCUGCUGCCAGUCCUCCUCUUUUUGCUGAGGAAGACCGGCCCUGAGUCAACAUCCCCGCAACUCUUCCUCUACUUUAUAUGUGGGACACCUACCAUAGCAUGGCGUGCCAAGCGGUGCCGUGCCCGCACCCAGGAUCUGAACCAGCGAACCCCAGGCUGCCAAAGUGGAACAUGAAAACUUAACCACUGCACCAUUGGGCUGGCCCCUUAAGUUAUUUUUGUUGAGUUCAGUAUUUGUAAGAAUUUUACUAAAAUUUUAAAAUAAUCUUUCCCCAACAUGACAAAAAUCCUCCAAAAUGUUCACAUAUAGAAGUAUUUGAGUUUAGAAACCUACAAAUCUAAUCAUAAUUAUUAUCUGUGCUACAUACAUGCAUUAGGUAUUGACUCUAAAAUAACGAGUAAUAUUAAGCACUUCUUACCUUAUCCCAAAAUAUUUUUUUCAUGGCACCUGCUAACAUUAAAAAAAAAUCUUGUGUAUUUCAUCCCUUGAGUAACGUGUAAUAGUUUUUUGGUGCUGAUAUUUGAUUUCUGUAUAAAUGUUCUUCCACGAUGUUACUGAAUUUUGCCAAAUGAAUAAUAUUCUGAUUUCCACACUCUUAAAAUUGGGUGUCUGAAUGCUAGCUAUUGCCUCACCAAAACAGAAUCAUUUAUAUAAUGUUUUUAACAAGAGCACACCAAUAUCUUUUCCCAUUUUAUAUAGUCUCUCUUCUGCAGCACCACCUUUCGGGGUGUCCCAUAUAUCUCGGUUGCUCUUUUCUGUGUUUUCUCUCCUUUUUUUGCCUGUACUUUAAUCUCAAUACUUUCUGCUGCCUGUCUUCCAGUUCAUUAAACCUCUGUUCUGCUGUUUCCAAUCUGCUAUUAAUCCCAUCAAAUGAAUUCUUUUUUAAUAACAACUUGAUUGAAGUACUAUACAUACAAUAAACUGUACCUAUUCAAAGUGUAAAAUUUGAUGAGUUUAGACAUAUGUAUACAUCCAUGAAAACACCACCAUAAUCAAGACUCAGAUCGUUCUCAUCACCCUCAAAAGUUUCUUUGUGCCUCUUUACCUCUCGUUUUUCUCUCCACAUCUGGUCCCAGGCAACCACUGAUCUGCUGUCAUUAUAGAUUAGUUUGCAUUUUCUUGAAUUUUAUAUGGAAUUAUACAGUACGUAUUCUUUUGUUUUUGGCUUCUUUCUCUCAGUAUAAUGAUUUUGAGAUUUGUCUACAUUGUUUAGUGUGUUGGUGAUUCAUCCCUUUUAAUUGCUGGGUAGUAUUCCAUUUCACGGAUUUAAUGCAUUUUUGUUCAUCCAUUCACCUGUUGAUGGGUAUUUGGGUUGUUUCCAGCUUUUUGAUACUGUGAAUAAAGCUGCUAUAAAUAUUCUUUUCCAAGUCUUGGUGUGGACAUAUGUUUUCAUUUCUCUUAGGUAAAUACUUAUGUGAUAGUUUUUUUUUAGGUGUUAACUUUUUGAAGUGAAUAACUUGUCCUCAGUUAUUCUACACUAUUCAACACUAAUCUAAGUGCUGCUAUGAAGGCAUUUUUUGUAGAUAUGAUUAAAGUCCAUAAUUGGUUGACUUUAAGUAAGGGAUAUUAUCCUGGAUAAUCUGGUUGGGCCUGAUUUAACCAGUGAAAAGUCCUGAAAAGCAGAGUUCAGGUUCUCCCGAAGAAGAACUUCUGCCUUGGGACAGCAGCUUCAGCCCUUGCCUGAGUCUCAACCUGAUCUUCCUGAUAGCCCGUCCUAUGGAUUUCAGAUUUGCUUAACCAGUCCUCCUCCCCAC